GGCCGUGUCAGCAAUAGUGCUAGUGCUGGUAGAAGCCGAUGAAGUCAUAAUGGGUGUCCCAAAUGGCACCCUAUUCCCCUUAGAGUGCACUACUUUGGACCAGGUUUCAUAGGGCUCUGGUUAAAAGUCGUGCACUAUAUGGGUAAUAGGGUGCCAUUUGGGAUCCAGUCUUAGUGUUUACAUCUUUGUGUUAUGAUAUUUCACCACACAGCACACUGUACUUUAUGUAACCUAAGGUGAUGCUCCCAUACUGUACUGUAUGUAACCUAAGGUGAUGCUCCCAUACUGUACUGUAUGUAACCUAUAGUGAUGCUCCCACACUGUACUGUAUGUAACCUAAGGUGAUGCUCCCAUACUGUACUGUAUGUAACCUAAGGUGAUGCUCCCAUACUGUACUGUAUGUAACCUAAGGUGAUGCUCCUGUAUUUCAUUUUCUUCAACAGAUUAAACAUAAACACAUACCCCCCCAACUUCCUUGAUAUUAUCAGUUCACCGGAGCAUAUGACUUGAGCCAGACGGCGAGAAUGUGGGAAUCUUUCACUCAGGUCUUACAGGUACGGACAUGAACAUAGGCCUGUUUGUGCAGGCACAGGAACGCAUAAUCAUUCACCAAAAAGCACAUGAAACAAAACAUGGCUUCAUCAUCCAGACAAGACGUGGCAUAUCGUAUCGCUCAAUCAAGGGCCUAAAGACCAACCUGACAGUUACAUACCUGUCUUCUAGACACUGAGCUGAGAUGACCUAGGUUUAAAGAAAUACAACACUUACACACUCAGAGGCCUAGAUUCAAUCAGACCAAGCAUUAACCGGCGAUAGCCGACACCCGCAGUGCUGGUGUUUUAUCAGUGUCGGAGGUGGAACUGCAUUAAGAGCUGUCAAAUUGCUGAGCAGCUGCUCCUGAGGUUGUCACGAAGCCACACCCCUCCAACUCACGUUAGAAGUUCAGAAGGAGAAAGUGUAGGCUGUAUAGCCUCACGCAAUAAUGACACUCAAACUGAAACUCACUAAACAAAAU
rnacentral:lncRNA from 1 species